rnacentral:sRNA from 1 species
GCCAGGCGUGGUGGCGCAUACCUGUAAUCCCAGCUACUUGGGAGGCUGAGGCAGGAGAAUCGCUUUAACUGGGAGGUGGAGGUUGCAGUGAGCCAAGAUUGUGCCACUGUACUCCAGCCUGGGCGACAGCGAGAUUCUGUCUCAAAGAAAAAAAAUGUGAAUAAAGUUGUUUUUUUUUUCCCGAGAUAGAGUCCUGCUCUGUCACCCAGGCUGGAAUGCAGUAGCACAAUCUCAGCUUACUGUAACCUCUGUCACCCAGGUUCAAGUGGUCUCCUGCCUCAG